CAGUUGUUCUGCCAAGAGCACCGCUGGGUAGCUACGUAUGGAUUAGAUAAUCGCUGAAAGCAUCUAAGUGAGAAACUAACCUCGAGAUGAGAUUUCCCAUUCGUCAGAAGUAAGACCCCUGAGAGACGAUCAGGUAGAUAGGCUAGAAGUGGAAGUGUAGUGAUGCAUGGAGCGGACUAGUACUAAUAGGUCGAGGACUUAACCAAG
rnacentral:rRNA from 1 species